AGAUCAGAGCCCAAAGGGACAGAGGCCCCCGGGGAAGCUUAGAUGUGGGGAUGGGAGGUAACCCCAGCCCACCACCAAAUACAGGUGGAGGCGACUGUGAAAGAGAAAAAAGUAAGCUGCCAUGUGUGUUCCAGCACGAACUCUCUCAUUACCAGGAGAAAGGGGGAAAAGAAAGGUGGUGGGCUGAGAAGACUGAUCUUUUUAACUCAGUUUUGGGUAGUAACAGGGUACUCAAGCAGACUUCCCGUAGAAAUGAAGACACACAUGGUAAAGAGAAGGUGGGAAAUUUAAGACCAGUGAUAAGAAUUGAAGCGUCUGAGCAGUAUGAAAAUACUGUCCAGGUUUGACAGGUUUUGAAAUCAUAGACCAAAUCCUAGCCCUUUGUUUUACACAUGAGGAAACUGAGAGCUACAGAGAGUGGAGAGGGCUACUGACACCCCCAAGGUGACACAGCUAUUCGACCUGAGGUCUAUGGCUUGAACCUGACCCCCGACUCGGGUCUUGUUUUUGUUUUCUGUUUUCCCAGGUGUCGCUUUGAUCCUGGUAAUUUGAACAUUGACUAUGGGGAACAGUGAAAGGCAAGUCAUGGGAAGCUCUGGGAAACUCAGCAUCCAACACUCUUUCAUUGGGUUUUCUGGUGCCAAGUAAAUGAUUAACGUCUACACAGCCAUUUUGUGAGCCUGGACUUGGGGGUUUGCUGCUGGCCAGAGGGGUCGGGCAAACAGACCCCUCCUUUGGCCUCGAUUCCAGCUUCUUUCUGCAGCACCAGCCAUCCCAUGUGAAGCCACCUCAGUGGUGACUCAUGGCACUCCCAACAGCCUUGACCACACUCAUUUUCCAGUGUUUUCUGAGGUCAGAGGUGCCAGCCCUGCCCAGGAAGCUCCAUUCUCCAUGGGCUACUUAUUAUCUGAAGUCAUCUUGCUUAUUUGAGUAUUGCCUGCCUCCUUCCAGAAGAAUUAAGCACCACAAACACAGGAUGUACC